AAAGAAACCAACAGGGAUUGCCCUAGUAACGGCGAGUGAAGCGGCAACAGCUCAAAUUUGAAAUCUGGCGUCUUCGGCGUCCGAGUUGUAAUUUGUAGAGGAUGCUUCUGGGCAGCCACCGGUCUAAGUUCCUUGGAACAGGACGUCAUAGAGGGUGAGAAUCCCGUAUGCGACCGGAAAGGCACCCUCCACGUAGCUCCUUCGACGAGUCGAGUUGUUUGGGAAUGCAGCUCUAAAUGGGAGGUAAAUUUCUUCUAAAGCUAAAUACCGGCCAGAGACCGAUAGCGCACAAGUAGAGUGAUCGAAAGAUGAAAAGCACUUUGGAAAGAGAGUUAAAAAGCACGUGAAAUUGUUGAAAGGGAAGCGUUUGCAACCAGACUUGCUCGCGGUGUUCCGCCGGUCUUCUGACCGGUUCACUCGCCGCGUUGCAGGCCAGCAUCGUCUGGGGCCGCCGGAUAAUACCUUGGUAACGUAGCUCCCCUCGGGGAGUGUUAUAGACCAUUGUGAUGCGGCGCGUCCCGGGCGAGGUCCGCGCUUCGGCUAGGAUGCUGGCGUAAUGGUUGUAAACGGCCCGUCUUGAAACACGGACCAAGGAGUCUAACGUCUAUGCGAGUGUUCGGGUGUCAAACCCCUACGCGUAAUGAAAGUGAACGGAGGUGGGAACUUUAUUGUGCACCAUCGACCGAUCCUGAUGUCUUCGGAUGGAUUUGAGUAAGAGCAUAGCCGUUGGGACCCGAAAGAUGGUGAACUAUGCCUGAAUAGGGUGAAGCCAGAGGAAACUCUGGUGGAGGCUCGCAGCGGUUCUGACGUGCAAAUCGAUCGUCAAAUUUGGGUAUAGGGGCGAAAGACUAAUCGAACCAUCU
rnacentral:rRNA from 1 species